rnacentral:rRNA from 1 species
GUGGGGUAAUGGCCUACCAAGGCAUCGACGGGUAGCUGGUCUGAGAGGACGACCAGCCACACUGGGACUGAGACACGGCCCAGACUCCUACGGGAGGCAGCAGUGGGGAAUCUUGCGCAAUGGGCGAAAGCCUGACGCAGCAACGCCGCGUGGGGGAUGAAUGCCUUCGGGUUGUAAACCCCUUUCAGCAGGAACGAAAAUGACGGUACCUGCAGAAGAAGCCCCGGCCAACUACGUGCCAGCAGCCGCGGUAAUACGUAGGGGGCAAGCGUUGUCCGGAUUUAUUGGGCGUAAAGAGCUCGUAGGCGGCUUGGCAAGUCGGGUGUGAAAACUCGGGGCUCAACCCCGAGCCUGCAGUCGAUACGGGCAGACUAGAGUGCUGUAGGGGAGACUGGAAUUCCUGGUGUAGCGGUGAAAUGCGCAGAUAUCAGGAGGAACACCGGUGGCGAAGGCGGAUCUCUGGGCCUUACCUGACGCUGAGGCGCGAAAGCUAGGGGAGCGAACAGGAUUAGAUACCCUGGUAGUCCUAGCCGUAAACGUUGGGCACUAGGUGUGGGUUCCAACCAACGGAAUCCGCGCCGUCGCUAACGCAUUAAGUG